rnacentral:rRNA from 1 species
GACGAACGCUGGCGGUGUGCUUAACACAUGCAAGUCGAACGGUAAGGCCCUUUCGGGGGUACACGAGUGGCGAACGGGUGAGUAACACGUGAGUAACCUGCCCUCAUCUCUGGGAUAACAGUCGGAAACGGUUGCUAAUACUGGAUAUGAGCUUGCAAGGCAUCUUGUGGGUUGGAAAGAUUUUUUUUGGUUGGGGAUGGACUCGCGGCCUAUCAGCUUGUUGGUGAGGUAGUGGCUCACCAAGGCUUCGACGGGUAGCCGGCCUGAGAGGGCGACCGGCCACAUUGGGACUGAGAUACGGCCCAAACUCCUACGGGAGGCAGCAGUGGGGAAUAUUGCACAAUGGAGGGAAGUCUGAUGCAGCAACGCCGCGUGCGGGAUGACGGCCUUCGGGUUGUAAACCGCUUUCAAUUGUGACGAAGCUUUUUUGUGACGGUAGCAGUAGAAGAAGCACCGGCUAACUACGUG